UAGGGAAUAUUGCACAAUGGGGGAAACCCUGAUGCAGCGACGCCGCGUGAAGGAAGAAGUAUUCGUAGUGUAAACUUCUAUCAGCAGGGAAGAACAUGACGGUACCUGACUAAGAAGCCCCGGCUAACUACGUGCCAGCAGCCGCGGUAAUACGUAGGGGGCAAGCGUUAUCCGGAUUUACUGGGUGUAAAGGGAGCGUAGACGGAUCUGCAAGUCUGGAGUGAAAGCCGGGGCUCAACCCCGGGACUGCUUGAAUGACUGUGAUCUGAGUGCCGGAGAGGUAAGCGGAAUUCCUAGUGUAGCGGUGAAAUGCGUAGAUAUUAGGAGGAACACCAGUGGCGAAGGCGGCUUACUGGACGGUAACUGACGUGAGCUCGAAAGCGUGGGGAGCAAACAGGAUUAGAUACCC
rnacentral:rRNA from 1 species